AUAAUACAGUCCUGUUCUUUUCAAGGGACAAAGAUCAGCAAGACAUUUAGCCCACUUCCUUUUCUCUGCACCUCCUUCUCUCUAAUUCUAGCAGCAACAGUUUCCUGUCUUUGCUUUUCUUUUAUAGUCCAAUGGUCGUCAUGUUCAGCCUGAACCUAGCUGCCCUGCUAGUCGCUCUUUUCUCAGACUUUCGGGUCCAUGCUGCUCCAUCACCACCUGUACACAGAAGGGAGGUUCGCAGAGGAGACGCAGUCACCUUGACUUGUAACGUGUCCAUGGAAGAGGCAGCAGACAUCAGAUGGACCAAAAUAAAUUCCUUUUUUCUUUAUUCCAUCGUCCUCAAUGCCACUGUUUCAAAUUUCUCUUCUCCCAGACUGAGAAUAGAGACCGACCUCCCGACUAGGUUGACGAUACUAAACGUUCAAGAUGAAGAUGAAGGACUUUAUCGAUGUACUGUAACUAACUGGAAUGGACUUCAAGAAAUUGGGUGGAAUUUAACUUUGUCUGAGGAAGUUAAAGAAAUCAGAUAUUCAUCACAUUGUCUUCUAAAAGUCCCGACUGGAGCAGGAAUUUUUCUGUGUUGUGCCCUCUCAGUUGUCUGCUACUACAGAAAAUGUAGAAGAAGAGCAGAGUCUCAGUAAGACGAGGUCAGUGAAACUUUACCGUCUGCAACAGAUUUCUUCGACUGUGUCUCCUGAAAACACUGGAGAGCAGAGCAUCUGUGUGUCUGACCAAAACCUUUCUGAAGCUCUGGUCUGUCGUCCUGUCUGCUCUUAUUCUCACCUUUAACCUCAGUCCGAUGAUUCAUCUUUCACUUCCUUCAUAAAGUUGUUCUUCUCUGCAGUUUCCACUCUAAGCCUCUGUCUUGAUGCUGAAAAAAUAAUAGAAGAAGAUGACAGAAGAGAACAUGGACUUUAUUCAAACUUUGGUAACUCUUUUUAAAGCAGCUUGGUUGUUGUUGUUUUUUUUUUACUCAAAAAUGCUUAAAUCUUGUGGCAAAAGUAAGAAGUACAACAAGAUGAAACAAAAGUUUCCUACGAGAGGCUGAUCCUCUCACAUGUAUCCAAGAAGAUAUGAAAGGGUUACUAUACUUGGGAUGACAUCAAACGUCCACUCAAGAACCUGCAUGUGAUAAAAUGUAAAGAUUUCAUGAAAGAAUAAAGAGAGUUGUGUGUAUGCUUUCCCUACCAGCAUCUUCCACCCUGCAGUAAUGUACUGAUUGUUUCAGGCGCCUCUUUGCACAGCCUACACCUUGAGUCUUGUCUGGUUUGGUAGAUCUGAGCCUCUAUCACUCUGGUGCUCAGGGCUUGUUCCUGAGCUGCCACGAACAGCGGCUGGGUUGCUCAGUGCUCCGUUGGUAGGGUGCAGGACUGGCACGCAGGAAACCAGGGUUCAUUCGUCCAGGGGCGGAAUGGACAAUCAAUGGUCAUGGGGCAAUUUCCAUAACAGCGGCGAGCACUUCACAUAACCUAACUUAGCAUCAGACGUCGCACGGCCAAACAAGAUCUGUGUCAGGUGCUGGGAGAGUGGGCUACUGGAACAAGAUGGAAAUGGACUAGAUGUGAGAACAAGGUCCUGUUGAAA